rnacentral:ncRNA from 1 species
GCCUUGAAAUCAGUUGUUACUUAAUUUAUACAUGCAAGUCUCCANCACCCCUGUGAAAACGCCCUUNUAACCCCCUCUAAUGGAUAAGGAGCCGGUAUCAGGCACNAAAACANAGCCCAAGACACCUAGCUAUGCCACAUCCACACGGAAAUUNCAGCAGUAAUUAACAUUGAGCAUAAGCGCCNAGCUUAACUCAGUUNAAAGUAAAAAGAGCCNGGCAAAUCUGGUGCCAGCCGCCGCGGCUACACCACGUGGCUCAAACUGANUUUCCUGCGGCGUAAAGCGUGAUUNAAAGNUUCACUUACUCCUGCAAUUAAACUAGAACUAGGCCGUAGAACGCUUAUNUCUUCGGAAACCCAANNAACGAAAGUCAUUGCANACUCUUACAACUUGAAUUCACGACAGCUAGGNAAACAAACUGGGAUUAGAUACCCCAUUAUGCCUAGCCGUAAACUUUUAUUUACACCCUUCUNNNNNNCGCCAGGGAACUACGAGCAAAGCUUAAAACCCAAAGGACUUGACGGUGCCCCACAUCCACCUAGAGGAGCCUGUCCUAUAAUCGAUGACCCCCGCUUAACCUCACCAUUUUUAGCUUAUCAGCCUGUAUACCUCCGUCGUCAGCUUACCCCGUGAGCGCUAANCCAGUGAGCCCAACGCCCAACACCCAUUNCGCCAACAAGUCAGGUCAAGGUGCAGCAUAUAAAAUGGAAAGAGAUGGGCUACACUGUCUAUUUUAGACAACACGAAAGACUACUUAUGAAANCCUAGUCAGAAGGCGGAUUUAGAAGUAAAGAAAGAUCAUCGUGCUUUCUUUAACUCNGGUACUGGGGUGUGUACACACCGCCCGUCANCCCUCUUNCAAAGCUCCUAUGUANGUUUAUNAACGCNAAUUUACCAAACAAGAAGANGGCANAGUCGUAACAAGGUAAGU